CUGGACCCUCAACCUUAUGGAGGGGGAGAAAAACUCACGGUCACCAUGAGAGAAAGAGACCGUGAGGUUCAAGCUCUAGCCUCGUUGUCGAUUUUCGUUGUAUCGAUCGUCCGAUUGCAUAAACCUUGAUAAAUCAAGUAGAUACGCCCAAUUAUUUACCAUGUCAAAGAGUAAGGGGUUGGAAGAAAAAGAGUCGUCGAAAAGGAAAGGUUUGGAAGUAAACACCAUCCAGGUUAGUCAACAUUGGAAGUACCGGUUGAGGUUUCUUUCAUGUGUGCUCCAGCGCUGCAUCCUUAGAGGGCCACUGAGCUUUGUUACCGAUAGAUUUUCGAAUGGUUAGUUGUGGCAUGUUAGCACUAAAUAUUAUACUAAGCUACUUCCGCUAUAAUUGUAAAUAUUAAUUAUUGAUUUAAGGAUUUGUUUUUGAAUGGUUUAGAAAAUGAAAAUUUUAAAUUGCCAUA